GGAAUUUAUACAGCCAACGGCAGCGCAAUUAAGUUUAACAACAACAACAACAACAACAAAACUACAGCAACUACAACCACAUGCAAAACGAACACAACAGCUAAAACAACAACAACUACAACAACAGCAGUGUGUAAUGUAUGAUCCGAACCGUCUAUCCAACAUGAACCUGCCUGUGCGCACACGCAACACACACACACACGAACGCAGAUGAUUCUCUCUCUGUCUAUCUACCGCGUUUGUCUUUCUCGCCAACGAAGAACGUGUGUGGACAAUAGAAACGAUCGAUGUACAAACAGACAGCAGUGGCCAUAAUGAUAGUGCGCUAAAAUGUACUGAC
rnacentral:lncRNA from 1 species